GCCAGUGUGGCUAGUGGUUUGAGUGUUGGACUAUGACUCUGGAAACCCAGGUUCAAUUCCCAACUCAGUCA